UAACUAGAGCCAUAAAUCAAAGCGAUGCGU
rnacentral:piRNA from 1 species